GUGUCCGCCCAAGUUAAACAAAAAAAAUACUAAUAGAAAAAAAUAUUUGACCUAAACACUUAAACGACACGCACAAACACAUAGUCUCAUGUCCUUAAUUCCUUUAACACAUAGUCUCAUCUUCUAUGAGAAAUACCACCACACAAACCCUUUUGAAUUUGAUCUAGUCGAGCUCUCUAUCUAUCUUACCACAAAUCCUGGCACAACAAUUCUGCUUCAAAUCUUUGAGUUUUUUUACCAUAAUCAUGAUGCAAGCACUCCUCAAAAUCAUAGAUGGGGCGUCGUUUACUCGAAUUCACACACUUCGGCCAUCUUCUGAAUAUCCCCUUUCUCUGCCGUCUCUAAUUUCUCAGAUCCGAAACAUCUUGGAUUCUUCAUCCUCUUCAAAGAAUCUCCUCCCCCAUGGCCUAGAGAUCUAAAAAAAUCCUAGAUUUUCCUCUCGAUUAAUUUGAUUUUGUAACUGGGUUUUUAAGUAUUGAGGUGAAUUUUAUUUCUGGGUUAGCUGAUUUUGUAGGUUUAUAAUAAGAUCUAUGCAAGAAGGGUUUCUCAGCUGGGUUAUGAGAUUAACCAAACGAGAGGAAGAAAAAACCCACAAAGUGUGUAGAAGAAUAUCAAAUUUGCUAGGUGGAGGCUGCUGAGCAUUAUGCUUGGAGAUUUAAUCUUAAUGAGGUAUUGAAUAUGGAUGAGUUGUGACAACCACAUGGAGUAAAGAAUGCCACUUUUGAACUCCUUUACCGUUGUCAUAACCCUGCCCCUUUACAUCAUAAACGUUUAACACUAGAUCAACCAAUGCAUCUUCGAGCGAAGAGAAAGUCCUUAUCCUGAUUUAUCCUUCACAAUCAAAAAUGUCAAGAAGAAUUCCUCAAUCUUGGUUCACGUUGUAGAGACAUCGACACAUCGAAUAACCAAAGCCAUUUGUUCUU